rnacentral:tRNA from 1 species
GAGGGUAUAGCUCAAGUGAUACAGCGCAUGCUUAGCAUGCAGGAAGUCCUGGGUUCAAUCCCCAGUACUUCCU